rnacentral:pre_miRNA from 1 species
AGUGGGAUAGCUGGGUCAUAUGGUGGUUCCAUUCCUAAUUUUUUGGUAAAUCUUCAUACUGUUUUCCACAAUGAUUGCACCAAUUUGCAGUCCCACCAACAAU